AACUUAGCGCUCUCCUAUUAUUUUCAAAUUUAUGAACAGGUACUGUUGCAUUUUCUGGAAUAUUCACUUCUGAAAGCUGAAAAAUGACAGAGCUCAUUCGAAUGGGUGCCCUGCCUCUCAGGCAGCUUCUUAAGGAGCUGGGACUUGUACUGACAUUUGUUUCCAGAAGUGGUACUUUCAGGAAGGGCUUAUGAGAGAGACCAGCCUGUCUGGAAGAGGAAUGGAGACUUCAGCUUGAAGACAGAGUAUAACAGCAAAAGUGACUCACUUCCUAGAGACACAUGAAUCAGCACAAAACAAAUUAAACAAAGCAACAUUAAACAGCAGCAAAGGUAGUAUCCUAUAUUCCUGCUUCUCAUCACAUGGGUGUGAAAGAAACCUUGUUUAGCAACUGUUUGUUUGCUUGUUUAGAAAUCCUUAAAUCGUCAUAAGAAAAUGCCAAACAUCCAACAGGGCUGGAAGAGAGAAGGUACAGGGUGACAUAAAAUGGAGGAUGCUGCAAGCAAUAAUGAAAAGGAGAGAUGAAGAUACAGAUGGUGAAGAAAGGUCCUGUGAACGAGAUGCAGUUAUUUUUUUAUCUCAGCAGUAAGCAGAGCAUCCCAUUCCUUUUAUCAAGCCACCUAGGUAGAUUCUUGAAUCCACCUCCUGGAAAGGACGCAUAAACCUGCUGCCUGAGCUGUCUUAAGAGCUUGAUCAAGCAGUGAGGUAAGUGCCUUUUACUACAUGGAAACUACAAGGUCAGAAGGGGAAAAAGUACUGACAAGAUGGUGAUUAUGAGCAUUAAUCAUAAUAAUAUCAAGGUUUUAUUUAGCACUUUUCAUCAGAAGAUUUUAAAGCACUGUAAAAAAGAGAUGAGUCUCAUUAUCUCCAUAUUUUAGAUCUAAAAUGUGACCUCCAGUAUGUUAAGACUUGUUCUCUGAAGGGGUAAAAAAAAGACUUCUAGAAUCAACAGUACUUAUUCUUUGUUAAAUUUCUAACCAACACAGAGAAUGUUUUUAAAUCUACUAUUCUGUGGGUUGUGUAAGGAAUUUUAAUUGCUUUACUAGUAACUUGAUAUAGAACUAAUGAAUAAAUAUAAUUUUUAUCAGGAUGCUGCCAUCAGCUGAUAGAACCAGUAAACUGACAUUUGCAGGACAAAUUCAGAAAAUUCUGUUAGCAUGUUCAGUUCUGUUGCUGGUUACUGCUUCAUUUAGUGGGGAUUGGUAACUGGAUAUCUGCAAUUUGCAAUGCACAGUAAAAGGAUCAGCUUAAAUCACCUCCAUAAAGGGUUUAAGCCAAUCCUUUUCCUUUGCCUUUGCAUAAACCUUUCAGAAUAUCCUAGCUAAGAUCUUGCACACUAACUAGCAACCGGGAGGUGCUUUUUUUCUAUUAAAAGAAGAUGAUGCUACCAGAAACAAAUAACUGUGCCCUGAAUGCCCCACAAUGGAGUUAUGCUGUAAAACCAGGAAUAUUACUGUAAGCUAUUACUGAAGGGCAAAUUUUUACCUUCUGCUGUCAGGAAAAUAUUUAUGUUUUAUUGUGUUAGAAGAUAGACCUUGACACCUAUCAGAAGAAUUUUAUCCUAGGAGAAAAGACUUAUGGCUGCAGACCUGCAGAGAACAAAACUCAGUGUUCGCCUCUCCGCAAUGCCUCUGGUGUAGGGAGGCAUAAGAAUUUGCUUGGGGUUUUGUUUCUGCCUGGGGCCAAGGCUGAUCUGUGCAAGUGAGUCUUAAUGAGAAGAGAGAUUUUUCAAAGUUGUGAGGAGUUUUAAAUAUCCAGGAGGAAAGUCAGAAAUAUAAAUAAAAAUAUAAAUUUGUCUGUGUUCAGAAAAAAUGGCGUUACUGAGGCAGUAUUUGAGAAGGUUUAAAGUCACCCUAUAGAAAAUGCAGGUUUGAGACCUGAAUCUCAGGAAAAUUUUGUGAAAUUAUGUUGCUAUUUAGAAGGAGGUCAGUUUGGAACAAUAUUGUGAACACUGACAGUUACAGCUUCUGCUUCUAGUGUAGGGCUUGACCCGUUUUCGUUUAUGCAAAUAAGAUUUGAGUUGUGGAGUACAUAUGGGAAAAAAAAGCAAAACUGCUACACUUCAGGAGACCAUGUGUCUUCCUCCAAAGAGUGAGAUCUUUUUGUGUAGGAACUGAAAAUAUUUUUGUCUUAUAGCAAACCAUCAUGUGUUCUGCUUUUGACUAAAAAUAACUAAUGCCAGACACAAUGUCUCAAGUAUGAUCUGCUCUGUUUUAUUUCUCUUUCAUUUGUUUUUUUUUGUUGUUGUUGUUGCUUGCAGUCAUGAUAAGGAAUAAACAAGACUGAUCAUUUUAAGCUCGCUUAAAGCAUCAGAUUUUUCAGCUCCAUUUGAUAUAGACCAAAUAGAUCCUGCACC
rnacentral:lncRNA from 13 species